GAUGAACGCUGGCGGCGUGCCUAAUACAUGCAAGUCGAGCGAACGGACGAGAAGCUUGCUUCUCUGAUGUUAGCGGCGGACGGGUGAGUAACACGUGGAUAACCUACCUAUAAGACUGGGAUAACUUCGUGAAACCGGAGCUAAUACCGGAUAAUAUUUUGAACCGCAUGGUUCAAAAGUGAAAGACGGUCUUGCUGUCACUUAUAGAUGUAUCCGCGCUGCAUUAGCUAGUUGGUAAGGUAACGGCUUACCAAGGCAACGAUGCAUAGCCGACCCGAGAGGGUGAUCGGCCACACUGGAACUGAGACACGGUCCAGACUCCUACGGGAGGCAGCAGUAGGGAAUCUUCCGCAAUGGGCGAAAGCCUGACGGAGCAACGCCGCGUGAGUGAUGAAGGUCUUCGGAUCGUAAAACUCUGUUAUUAGGGAAGAACAUAUGUGUAAGUAACUGUGCACAUCUUGACGGUACCUAAUCAGAAAGCCACGGCUAACUACGUG
rnacentral:rRNA from 1 species